GAGCGAACGCUGGCGGCAGGCUUAACACAUGCAAGUCGAGCGGGCGUAGCAAUACGUCAGCGGCAGACGGGUGAGUAACGCGUGGGAACGUACCUUUUGGUUCGGAACAACACAGGGAAACUUGUGCUAAUACCGGAUAAGCCCUUACGGGGAAAGAUUUAUCGCCGAAAGAUCGGCCCGCGUCUGAUUAGCUAGUUGGUGAGGUAACGGCUCACCAAGGCGACGAUCAGUAGCUGGUCUGAGAGGAUGAUCAGCCACAUUGGGACUGAGACACGGCCCAAACUCCUACGGGAGGCAGCAGUGGGGAAUAUUGGACAAUGGGCGCAAGCCUGAUCCAGCCAUGCCNNNUGAGUGAUGAAGGCCCUAGGGUUGUAAAGCUCUUUUGUGC
rnacentral:rRNA from 1 species